rnacentral:tRNA from 1 species
GAGAUGAUGGCUCAACAGUUAAGAGCACUGGCUGUUCUUUCAGAGGUCCUGGGUUUAAUUCCCAGCAACCUCA